rnacentral:rRNA from 1 species
UGGGGAAUAUUGCACAAUGGGCGCAAGCCUGAUGCAGCCAUGCCGCGUGUAUGAAGAAGGCCUUCGGGUUGUAAAGUACUUUCAGCGGGGAGGAAGGGAGUAAAGUUAAUACCUUUGCUCACUGACGUUACCCGCAGAAGAAGCACCGGCUAACUCCGUGCCAGCAGCCGCGGUAAUACGGAGGGUGCAAGCGUUAAUCGGAAUUACUGGGCGUAAAGCGCACGCAGGCGGUUUGUUAAGUCAGAUGUGAAAUCCCCGGGCUCAACCUGGGAACUGCAUCUGAUACUGGCAAGCUUGAGUCUCGUAGAGGGGGGUAGAAUUCCAGGUGUAGCGGUGAAAUGCGUAGAGAUCUGGAGGAAUACCGGUGGCGAAGGCGGCCCCCUGGACGAAGACUGACGCUCAGGUGCGAAAGCGUGGGGAGCAAACAGG